AACUAGGUUGUUUAUAUUUGUUGAUUACUUUCUUGUCUCUCAAAGAACCCAUUCUUUGAGUUCUAUCUCUCGUUUAUUUGCUUUUAGGCAAAUCACAUUGUAGGAUUACAAUGAACUACUCAACAAAACAACAUUUGUUAGUUGGUUUAUAGAAGCGAUAUCCAAAAGUUAAUUUAAGGAUAUCCCACAAGAUUGUUAUCAAACAAAUAUUGCUUAUUAGCACACAACCCCAAAUCUUAACACGAUUAAGUUUUGUCUUUCUUUCCAACUACAUCUUAUGGAGUCAUGAAAAUUUUGGAAGAUCUUCUAAUUGACAAUCAUAU
rnacentral:lncRNA from 1 species